rnacentral:rRNA from 1 species
UGUGACCUACGGGAGGCAGCAGUGGGGAAUAUUGCACAAUGGGGGGAACCCUGAUGCAGCGACGCCGCGUGAGUGAAGAAGUAUUUCGGUAUGUAAAGCUCUGUCAGCAGGGAAGAAGAAAGACGGUACCUGACCAAGAAGCCCCGGCUAACUACGUGCCAGCAGCCGCGGUAAUACGUAGGGGGCAAGCGUUAUCCGGAUUUAUUGGGUUUAAAGGGUGCGUAGGCGGAAUAUCAAGUCAGCGGUAAAAAUUCGGGGCUCAACCCCGUCGUGCCGUUGAAACUGAUGUUCUUGAGUGGGCGAGA